rnacentral:lncRNA from 1 species
CAAACCAUAUCAGAAGAAGUACUGAAGAGUCACUCAAAGCAAGUAAAUACCAUGUAUCUGAGUUACUGUUAGAUACUCUUUGAAGAAGCCUUUGAAUAAAGAGUACAUUUCUGGAAACACGUGGUUAGUCAGGUGGUGACUAAAGUGGUUGCUCACAGGCACAACUGACUGCAGGCUCCACAGAGCAGCUUUUGGAGUCUAAGAUCACUGCCAAAAAAAGAACAGAGGUAUGGGAGGGCCCUUUCUGAUUAUAACUGUAAAACUCUCAAGAGAUGAGCUUCAGACAGAGGAGAGAUCACUAUCCCUAGUUUUCAGAAAAGCAGCUUACGCCUCAAGACUUUUAAACAUUUUGCCCAUAGUUUCAUAAAAAGUUACUGGUAGAAUGGUGGCUAGCUCCAGCUGUUUUUUUUUUCCCCCUAGGGCGAUGUUCUCUACACUGCACUAAAUGGAGAACAGCUCCACUGCUUCUUUUCUCCUGAGCACAUUGUCUGUGAACAAAUGUUUAGAAAAGAGAAAACAUUUCAAUGAAAGAGGAAACAGGAAAUUCCAACAGAUCAGCAACAGUUGGAGUGCUAACCUGUCAGUGGAAUGGAAAAAAGAAAAAAUGCUCUUGUUGACACAUCUUUUCCUUGUUUUUGACACAAAUUAGAAUUGAGUUUGUUUUUGCCCAUCUGAAAUAUCUGUAAAGAUAUAAAAUAUCUGUAAAGACUCUGAGGAUGGAACAGAUACUUCGUAGUUUUCUUCAAACUUGUAUAGCUCAAGGGGUAACUAUUUCCUUCUGCAUGGACUGUCACCCUCCCUCCCGUCAGACCCUGCCCCUGUGCUUGCCUUCAAGCCUUCAUACCUUCAAAACAUCUUGCUCUGGUCACCUUUUAUAGGUGACCUUUCCCCAUCUUAAUUUCCCUAUUCUGUGUUUUGUGGCACACUGAU